GGUGGCCUAGGUCAGCUCCUGCCUGCAGAAGGCUGGGGAAGGUCCCUGCACCAGGAGUGGGCAUUGUCAUUGAGCCUGUCUGUGGAUGGGGGUCCGGAGCAGUUUAAGGUUCUGAAGAGGUUUCCUAGGGGCACCUGAGGUGUUUGGUGCUGUUGGCAGGAAACGCUUCCCUAGCAGAGAACAGAGUGGAUGGAAUGAUCAGCAUUCACUCUGUCUUGGCUUCAGUCCCCAAAGUGACUUCACACUGCAGAGGGGGAGUAUGCUUCUCAAACUGGGGUCCUGUGACUGUGUGCCUUCAAGCCUCCCUGAGCUGCUGAUGGUGGAAGAGGCAGCCUCCGAACACAGCAGCCUGCAAUGUCUGCGCUGGGUGAGCUGUGGCCUCGAUCCUUGCAGGGCUUCUUGUGCUGUGCAGCUGCUGUCAGCUCUGCUGUAACUUGGAGGGCUUUGCAGCCCAGGGCUGGGGAGUUGGGCUAGUGCUGUCCUUGGCCCCCAAAGCCUUCCUAGAUGGUGUCAACUGCCAAACAACUCCUGAUUAAUGGCAGCCUCCAUCAUUAGCCGUUCAUCCCUGUCCUCUGGAGCCUGUAGGCCACCAGGACUUCCCCCAGCCAUAAGCGCAGCCCGUGGAGACACACAGAGUUUUCUCUGUUUCCAUGCGCAGGCAGCACCGGGCUACAGCUCCAGUGGCAUCUGCCCAAACUAAACACGAGUCCUCCUGAUAUGAUUGCAAACCAGUUCCAGAGCUAAUGGGAUACCACGUAGCUGAGAACAGAGCUGGGACUGGAGCAGGUUUCUGCUGAGCUCUCCCCAGCCCAGAGAGGUUGUUUCUGCACCAUCAGUAGUGAAGACUUAAGGAAACCUAGUUUUCUCUGAGGGCUUGUUGCACACCUGUCUGCUGCCCAGGGUGUCUCACAUUCCAGAAAACCGAUGCAAACCUUCCCCAGAGACCUUCCAGCAUUCCCAUGUUGGUUGAUACAGGUGGGCAAAGGGCAGUACCAAGGCUGAUUGGAUCUUGAUGGGCUAACAGGGGCAGAAUGCUGGUGAGAGAGCUGCAGCCGUUCCCACCUGGGCUCCUAAUUGGGGUCCUUCCUCAGCCCAGCCACCCAUUUGUCUUGGAGACCUCCAACCUGCUGUUGGAUAGGACUGAAACGGGCUGACAGCUUCCCAUCUUAUUCAUGCCCUUCACCAAGGUGUACUUAAAAAGCUCUGAUGUACCAAACCGGGCCAGGCACCUCCUGGGGAUGCUGCCUCCCCUCCCGAGCCUCUGUGCAGCUUUGUCCCGUUACCUUUGCUUUUAGCAGAAGCAAGAUCAAUACUGCCAGAUUACUCCCAGACAAAACGCACAAUGGUUUUUAGCUGCUCCUACCCUUGGAAACUCAACAUUCAGCUCAAGUCUUGGUAUCGCCCCCAGUUAAAUCAGGGAUGAGUUUGAUCAGCGUUCAUUUUGCACGUCAGCCGCAAUACAGACUGACUGACGUUCUCGCUGCUCUUGGUUCAGGCAGCCCCAGAAGCACUUACUUUCUUUG